rnacentral:rRNA from 1 species
UACGGGGGGAGCAAGCGUUGUUCGGAUUUACUGGGCGUAAAGGGCGCGUAGGCGGCGCAACAAGUCACUUGUGAAAUCUCCGGGCUUAACCCGGAGCGGUCAAGUGAUACUGUCGUGCUAGAGUGCGGAAGGGGCAACUGGAAUUCUCGGUGUAGCGGUGAAAUGCGUAGAUAUCGUUUGGAACGCCAAUGGUGAAAACAGGUCGCUGGGGAUGAGCUGACGCUGAGACACGAAAGCCAGGGGAGCAAACGGG